CAGUUCGGAUUGUAGUCUGCAACUCGACUACAUGAAGCUGGAAUCGCUAGUAAUCGCGAAUCAGAAUGUCGCGGUGAAUACGUUCCCGGGUCUUGUACACACCGCCCGUCACACCAUGGGAGUUGGGAAUGCCCGAAGCCGGUGACCUAACCGAAAGGGAGGAGCCGUCGAAGGCAGGCUUGAUAACUGGGGUGAAGUCGUAACAAGGUAAC
rnacentral:rRNA from 1 species